rnacentral:rRNA from 1 species
UACGGAGGGAGCGAGCGUUAAUCGGAAUCACUGGGCGUAAAGCGCACGUAGGCGGCCAGAUAAGUCAGAUGUGAAAGCCCCGGGCUUAACCUGGGAAUGGCAUUUGAUACUGUCUGGCUAGAGUAUGGUAGAGGGGGGUGGAAUUCCAGGUGUAGCGGUGAAAUGCGUAGAGAUCUGGAGGAACACCGGUGGCGAAGGCGGCCCCCUGGACCAAUACUGACGCUGAGGUGCGAAAGCGUGGGGAGCAAACAGG